GGGGAAAUAGUUUUACUUUGUGUAAUGACUCAUCCAUUCCAAUUUGUUAGUCUCUAAGGUGCCACCGGUACUCCUUUUCUUUUUGCGAAUACAGACUAACACGGCUGCUACUCUGAAAUGCAUGUGCUAGUGAGUAGACGACAAAACUUCUCAAGCAUUGGCCUGUAGCAGUGGUUAUAGUUCUGGAUUCUGCAGGGCAGUUAAAUUCAGAACAUGAAGUUGCGGAUAACGGAUAGCAAGCUGUAAUAAGGGAAUUACUGAACUUUAGAGACAGUGAUUCAUGACUGGGCAGUUUUUUUGUUUGGUUGGUUUUUUGGGCAGAUAAUUGCAUGCAAAAAUCUAGAUUCUUAAAGCUCGUUUUGAAAGCGGUAUUUUAAUACUCCUAUUGAAUUGGUCAAAUCAAAGGUGCAUAAUGAUGAAAUAAAACCGAAAAAGCUGGAAUUACCGACAGAUUGUUGGUGGGCAAAAUGGUGUCUUGAAGUAUAAGAAUCUGUAGACUUUGAUAUUUCAGAGGAGUGAGAUGCCUACAGGAGAGGUGGAAAGCAGCUCCCUUGACCUGUGGUGGGCCUUGGACCAGGCCUAAUCUGGGUGGAAAGGAGAACUUGGGUCAUGGCUUGGUGGAAAACUGGAGCCUUCCAUUCUUCAGACCCUCUUAAUACACAGAUUCAAGGUCAAGAGCUGAAAUUGGAUAUUGCAUAAUUAUGUGUCCGUAUCGCAGACUAACAGGCUUGCAAUAGAAGAACAUCCAAAUGAGCCUGAGAAUUAGUAACUGGUUUUUGGUGGCUGCUUUUUUUUUUUUUUUUGAGCACUACCAAAUGUGUCUGCUCACUCUUUUUUAUAAGUAAGAGAUGCAUACUGUUAAGUGCACAAAUUAAAAUGUUCAAAUCAUUGUA